rnacentral:rRNA from 1 species
AACGAACGCUGGCGGCAGGCUUAACACAUGCAAGUCGAACGCCCCGCCAGGGGAGUGGCAGACGGGUGAGUAACGCGUGGGAACAUACCCUUUCCUGCGGAAUAGCUCCGGGAAACUGGAAUUAAUACCGCAUACGCCCUACGGGGGAAAGAUUUAUCGGGGAAGGAUUGGCCCGCGUUGGAUUAGCUAGUUGGUGGGGUAAAGGCCUACCAAGGCGACGAUCCAUAGCUGGUCUGAGAGGAUGAUCAGCCACAUUGGGACUGAGACACGGCCCAAACUCCUACGGGAGGCAGCAGUGGGGAAUAUUGGACAAUGGGCGCAAGCCUGAUCCAGCCAUGCCGCGUGAGUGAUGAAGGCCUUAGGGUUGUAAAGCUCUUUAACCGAUGAAGAUAAUGACGGUAGUCGGAGAAGAAGCCCCGGCUAACUUCGUG